UGGGAAAUGAGCUUACUGGCAGUCUCAAC
rnacentral:piRNA from 1 species